rnacentral:tRNA from 1 species
GGUCCCGUAUCUCAGUUGGUUAGAGUGUUGGUCUUAUGAGCCAAAGGUCGUGGGUUCGAGCCCCGCCGGGACCA